CCUCUGCUGGUGGAGGACAAUGAAAUGAUGGCUUUGAAGCUGACAACACCAUGGGAUGGCUGCGGUGGGCUAGGGAAAGGAGGGUGUGCAGCAGGCACAUAAACUUUCUAGAGUAGUGUGGGUUGCACCACUGCAGGCAUGAGGUGGGGCGCCCCGGUGUCACAAAAGUCCGAUCAGGGGACAUAUGGUCCUGCCAGGAGCUAAGGGCCCAGAGCUUGGCCACCGUGCAGAGAGCUGGGCGAAGAGGAAGCGCCGCAGCCAGUGGACUUGGUUCCACUCAGCUGCAAAAGGAAGAGAGUUGGUCAAGACGACGUCUGCAGUCCCUUCACUAUAAAAUUUUGCAAAAUACAAACUGCUCAGUGGGUGUGUAGUUGGCCGAAGGUACUCCACCAAAGAGGUACCAAAAGCUGGUGGGCUUCAAAGCAGCAUCGUCCCCAGCAGCCAAAAAGUGGGCACCCCAAGUGUCCAUCCACAGAUGAUGGGUAAACAAAACGGGGCCUGUCCAUGCUAGGAAAUAUGACUUGGCCAUCAAAGGGAAUGGAGCUCUGACACAUGCCACACGUGGACCUUGAGGACAUCAUGCUGAGUGAAACAGGCCAGUCACAAAAGCACAAGCACAGGAUGAUUCCACUUAUAUGAGGUCCCUAGAGUAGUCAAAUUCAUCGAAAGUAGAAUGGUGGCUGGCAGGAUCUGGGGGAGGGGAGUGGGGAGUUAGUGUCUAAUGGGUACAGAGCUUCAGUUUGGGAAAAGUUCUGGUGUUGGCUGGUGGUGAUGAUUGCACAACAAUGUGAAUGUACCCAAUGCCACUGAACUGUACACUUAGAAAUAGUUAAGAAGGUAAAAUUUAUUAAGUAUAUUUUAGUAACCCCUCCCCCCGCCCCCGCCAAAAAAAAAAAGCCCAUGUGCACAGUGGUCUCUGCUGAAUGAAGACUUGAAAACCAGAGCCCAGCCCUAAACAGCUCAUGCAUAGUCCAGGCAGAGAAACAGAGCAGGUAAUGCCCCCUCAACUGAUGGCAGACGGGCCAGGGAGCCCUGCUCUGGGCUGGAGCAGGGAGGCACCUUCAGGGUUGUGGGAGAUCUGCAGGGAGAGCCACUUCUCCCUAGGGGUGGGUGUCUGAGCAACAGCACCAGAAUCCCAGCGACAUUCUCUCCUUCCUCCUUCCAGACUGGCUUUGCCUGCCUCUGAGGCUCUGGGAAUGCUGUUCCCUCCACUUGGAAGGCAGUUUCCUCACUUCACCAAUUCUUUAUCUUCGUCAUCCCAAACCCAACCCACAUGCACCCCACAAGAAAACCUCCCCUUGCCAGUUAUAGACUCUCAAAUCCCCCAGAAAUUCUGCCCUCUGAUGUUGAUCAUAAUUGUCAUGAAAUAGCUAUUUGUGUCAUUGUGUGACACGUUCUAUGAAAUUCUCCAUUGCUUCCCCAGUACUCAUUAAGGAAAUGCUUUUUGUCAGAUGGACAGAUGGAUGGUUGGGUGAGUGGAUGGAUGGAUGAAUGAUGGAUGGAUGGAUGGUUGGAUGGAUGGAUGGAAGCAUGGAUAGAUGGAUGGAUGGGUGGAUGGAUGGAUGGUGGAUGUGUGGAUGGAUGGAUGGAUGAACAGAUGGGUGGAUGGAUGGAUGGAUGGAUGGAUGGAUGGUUGGAUGGAUGGAUGGAUGGAUGGUGGAUGUGUGGAUGGAUGAAUGGAUGAACAGAUGGGUGGAUGGAUGGAUGGAUGGAUGCAUGGAUGGAUGGAUGGAUGGAUGGACGGAUGGACGGAUGGAUGGACAGAUGGAUGGAUGGAUGGAUGGGUGGGUGGAUGGAUGAUAGGUGGAUGGAUGGAUGGAUGGAUGGAUGGUGGUUGGGUGGAUGGAUGGUGGAUGGGUGGAUGGAUGGACAAUGGGUGGAUGGAUAGGCAAGCAAACUGAAGGGUCUACCCACCCAAAGGGGCCAAUGCAUGGAGUGCCUAGGCCUGGAUAACAGGGUGCAAGUAUACGUGUGAAUGGGUGCUUUCGAGUCUUUUGCCUAGAACCAUGAAUUACAGUUCAGGCCCACUGUCAGUCCUACCUGACACUGUGUGGACUGUGGACCUGUCUGAGAACGGCUUCCUGGAUCUAGAGGUUUGGCUGAAGGACAGCACUCACCAUCUCCUGGGAGGAUGAGCUCUCAAUCUGAUCUGAUCUGAUUGGCUUGGAGGACCCAUCCCAGAUGGCACCAUCCAACUGUACCUAGCACUUGCUGUGACCUGGGCUGGCACUAGCUGAGCACUUCCCAUAGAAUAGCAGGAGCUACUUUUCCCUGUUUUACAGACAUGGAAACUGAGGCAC
rnacentral:lncRNA from 1 species